rnacentral:rRNA from 1 species
AUGGCCAUUGCAGGGGUAGCCACUGAGCUCCUCGGAUUGACCCCGUGGCACAUGCCCGCUCCUAUGCGCGCCCAUGCCCGAGCCUUCAGUUCUUCUUCCGCGCUCGUGGGGCCACUCCCUCUCUGGCUCUCCAUGCCCACGCACAUGCCACACCGCGUCCGUCGCGCCCGCCGUUGCCAUCACGCUCGCCACAGCCACCGCACCACUUUGCCCCGCGCGAUGCACACCCUGGCCGCACGUCACACUCUCGCUGGCUGCGCUCACCCCGUCUGCUGCCGUCUAUCCCUUCGCUCGCCCCACUGUCGUGCCCCUGCUUCGCGCCGCCUCCUAUCGCGGCCAUCUUCUGCCGACCGCCCCCUCAGCCACGCCGGCCGCAUCUCUGCCCUCCACCGUCGGCCGCUCGCCUUGCCUGAUGCGUGCUUCUUCCUGCUGCUAUGCGCUGCUCUACCACUGGUAUGCUGUUGCGCCAUGCCCUCGACACCGCCGUGGACAAACGUGGCGGAGGGAUUGUCAAUGAAGUACGAGGAGGAGGUGGCGGAGAAGGUGUGGAGAGGCAAGAGGUCUAGGGUGGCGUCAGCUGGCUGUGGUGGAGGUGAUUAUGCGAGCAGGAGCCGGAGCGGAAGGAGAGGUCACAUUUGGAAAGAAUCGCAAAAAAAAUCAUAA